GACAAUAUAGCUCAAGUGGUAGAGUGUGUGCUUAGCAUGCACGAGGUCCUGGGUUCAAUCCCCAGUACUUCCA
rnacentral:tRNA from 1 species